rnacentral:rRNA from 1 species
UACGUAGGGUGCAAGCGUUAAUCGGAAUUACUGGGCGUAAAGCGUGCGCAGGCGGUUAUGCAAGACAGGUGUGAAAUCCCCGAGCUCAACUUGGGAACUGCACUUGUGACUGCAUAGCUAGAGUACGGCAGAGGGGGAUGGAAUUCCGCGUGUAGCAGUGAAAUGCGUAGAUAUGCGGAGGAACACCAAUGGCGAAGGCAGUCCCCUGGGCCUGUACUGACGCUCAUGCACGAAAGCGUGGGGAGCAAACAGG